rnacentral:rRNA from 1 species
UACGGAGGGUGCGAGCGUUAAUCGGAAUUACUGGGCGUAAAGCGCACGUAGGCGGUUCUGUAAGUGGGAUGUGAAACCCCCGGGCUUAACCUGGGAAUUGCAUACCAGACUGCAAAGCUAGAGUAUGAGAGAGGGUGGUGGAAUUUCCGGUGUAGCGGUGAAAUGCGUAGAGAUCGGAAGGAACAUCAGUGGCGAAGGCGGCCACCUGGCUUAAUACUGACGCUGAGGUGCGAAAGCGUGGGGAUCAAACAGGAUUAGAUACCCUGGUAGUCCACGCCGUAAACGAUGAGAACUAGCCGUUGGAUUCCUUAGAGGAUUUAGUGGCGCAGCUAACGCGAUAAGUUCUCCGCCUGGGGAGUACGGCCGCAAGGUUAAA